CCUACGGGUGGCAGCAGUGAGGAAUAUUGGUCAAUGGGCGAGAGCCUGAACCAGCCAAGUCGCGUGAAGGAUGACGGCCCUACGGGUUGUAAACUUCUUUUGUCAGGGAGCAAUUGAGUCCACGUGUGGUCUUAGCGAGAGUACCUGCAGAAAAAGCAUCGGCUAACUCCGUGCCAGCAGCCGCGGUAAUACGGAGGAUGCGAGCGUUAUCCGGAUUUAUUGGGUUUAAAGGGUGCGUAGGCGGAAUAUCAAGUCAGCGGUAAAAAUUCGGGGCUCAACCCCGUCGUGCCGUUGAAACUGAUGGUCUUGAGUGGGCGGGAAGUAGGCGGAAGGCGUGGGGUAGCGGUGAAAUGCAUAGAGAUCACGCAGAACUCCGAUUGCGAAGGCAGCAUACCGGCGCCCAACUGACGCUGAAGCACGAAAGCGUGGGUAUCGAACAGGAUUAGAGACCCCUGUAGUC
rnacentral:rRNA from 1 species